UCCCCCUUAGCUCAGUGGUAGAGCGCUUCACUAGUAGGCAAUCAACCUUGCAUCAUGAAGAGGUCAGUCGUUCAAGUCGGCUAGGGGGAA